rnacentral:rRNA from 1 species
GACGAACGCUGGCGGCGUGCCUAAUACAUGCAAGUAGAACGCUGAAGAGAGGAGCUUGCUCUUCUUGGAUGAGUUGCGAACGGGUGAGUAACGCGUAGGUAACCUGCCUUGUAGCGGGGGAUAACUAUUGGAAACGAUAGCUAAUACCGCAUAACAAUGGAUGACACAUGUCAUUUAUUUGAAAGGGGCAAUUGCUCCACUACAAGAUGGACCUGCGUUGUAUUAGCUAGUAGGUGAGGUAAUGGCUCACCUAGGCGACGAUACAUAGCCGACCUGAGAGGGUGAUCGGCCACACUGGGACUGUGACCCGGCCCAGACUCCUACGGGAGGCAGCAGGAGGGCAUCUUCGGCAAUGGGGGCAACCCUGACCGCGCAACGCCGCGUGAGUGUAGAAGGUUUUCGGAUCGUAAAGCUCUGUUGUAAGUCAAGAACGGGUGUGAGAGUGGAAAGUUCACACUGUGACGGUAGCUUACCAGAAAGGGACGGCUAACUACGUG